GGGAAGCAGGAGUUAAGAGACGCAAUGCUUGUAUCUUGCUGACUGAUGGGCUGCUUCUCUCCCCUAUCAAGUCCGAUCAUAAAGACAUGCAGAACGCAUCACAAAUCACCAGCAACUUGAAGAGUGCUUCCACUGACCUCGGAGGCACCCGGGACUGCUGACGUGGGGGUCACGAGAAAGACUGCACUGUUGCCUGUUUAUUCCAGUAAGUGUUUACGCUGGGUGUUCUAUCUGGCAAAGAGCUCAAGGUUACGCUGUCAGUGCGAGAUCAUUAGCUUUGCAAUUUCUCCAAAAGCAUUUGCGUUAGCAAAUGUUCAUCCUGACUUCAGGGAACAUGUUUAUGUCCAGGUGUAAAUCCUGCUGCUGGGAGAACUCCUUGCUAAUUACACUGCUGCUGUUCUUUAUCUCCCUGUGCAUGAACUGGGCAGCAGAAAUUCAUCAAAAACCUUCUCUUCCUGAACGGGGUUAGCUGAAGCUCUUAGCUCGAAUGGCGGCGUCCCGAUGCACCUGCAUUUAUUCUUGUAUAGAGGAAAAGCAUGGAGGUCAUAUAAGUGGCCUCUCCUGGACACAGGUGAUAGCCCUUACAAACAAGGUGACAAAGUGGCCUCUCCUGGACACAGUUACGCGUGCCACCAGACCCAAGCUCAAGUACUUCCGUCAUGAACUGACAGCUGGAGGAGUGGACAGUGGCAACGGGCAGCACCUGGGUGAGCAGCUGUCCUUCUCCCUGCAGGGCUCUCCUGUACCAGCCGCUGGCUUGGCCUAUGGACAAAACUGCGAGCAAAAUCACUCUCAUCUCAUGCACAUCUGUACCUGCUGGAGACACACAUUCAUCAGCAAACACCGACAGGCUGGACCGACUGCCAACCAGCACCGCCUUGGCCUGCAGUGGAGAAGGAUGGUCCAAGAUCUCCCUGGGAAGCAUAGCCAGAGAUUAUGAGAAGGGGUUAAAGUAUAUGACAGGAGGGAGAGGAAGAGAGCUCUCAUCUAGUCAAGAAAUAUUCUCUGUCUCUCUAAUAAAAAAAUUUUACAAACUUUUAAUAUCCCUUAAGGUAAUCACAAACUCUAGGGUCCUAGAUUUUGACCAUGAUAAUUCACCUGCUUAGAACCACCCUUGGAGCAUGGAUAUCUAACAAGGUACUACCUGUGAUACUACCUGUGUGUCCCCACAUACCCAAGGCACGUACAUGUUCAACCAUUUAAAAUAUUUUAAAGGUAAAUUACCAAUACAGCAGGAAGGUCUGGCAGAGUCCUAGACACACUAAAUAGAACAUGCCCAUGGAGCUCAGGUGAAUGUGUUUAGCACAUAUUUUCAUGUUUAAAUCUACAUUUGGGCAUCACUGAUAAGAGCAUAGAUUGAGAUUAAGGACAAAAUGAAGAGGGCUGAGCAGUGGUUAUCUGGUUAGGGAUUUGUUUGCCUAAUUAUCCUGGUACAGAGCUAGGAUCUGUUCCCCACAAUAUUAAUCAUGCUGGCCAUGCUGACAUGUGUGUGUAUUACCUUAGGUAACCCUUGCAAAAACCCUGCGAAGUUAGUGCCAUCAUCAUCAUUACUAUCAUUAUCAUUAUUCCAUUAAUACAGAAGAGGAAACCAAAGGACAAGUAGGGCAAGCGACUUGUCUAAAGGACCAAGAACACAAUGCAGUGCCCGGGGUCUUCACUGCUGAAAUGAACAGGAGGAUGCUAUGGUGGGGAGUUUCACCAGGUCAGGGAAAUGCAUGGAUUUUAUUGUAUUGGAAAGCGGAAGUCCAGGUUUCUGUCUCCUCUCUCUCCCUCCCUCCCCGAAUACAUGCUGCUGAAAACACUCUGCUGCUUCCUGGGAGGGGAGGGGUACGUCUUCUCCCUCUCUCCCUCCCUCUCUCUUCGCUUCCUCUUUCUUUCCUUUCCUUCCUUCCUCAUCCCCUCCCUCCCUUCCUCCCUCUCCUUCUUUCAUCGUUGUUCUUUAUUUUUACUUUUGGACAGAUUCAAUGUGCUUUGUAGAUACAACUCUAAGAACAUAAAGAUACUCCCUCCCUUCCUCACUCCCUCCUUCCCCUUUCUCUCACUGUAAUAAGACAAUGACCAUUUAGACCCCUGCUCUGGUCAUUCUUAACAUGCCAGCUGGAGUCUCGGGACAAACCUGGCAAAUGGGGAGCCUUCUAAUGCUAAAGCAAUGUCAACCGAGACUUGGAGCAGGCUUUGACUUCAGGCAGUGUGGUGCACAAACAGUGGAAGCAUCCACAGGUGCAGAGGAAACAAGCAGACUGGCACAAAUAAAGCCUAUGACAAAUAAUGGGGAAUGCACAGAUGGUGGAAGCCAACAGCGUCACAAACUCUUUGGGAGCCACGACCUCACCUGAUGAACAAAAUAAGAUGUUAGAAACCGAUUAGAUGGAAACUGAUAUAUGCAAAUUCUCUGAUGCAGAGUUCACAAUAGCUGCUUUAUGGAAACUCAGUGAUCUGCAAGAAAUCACAGAAAAAUAAUUUAAUACUCUAAUAGAGAAACGUAAUUGAAAGUUAGAAGCAAUUUUAAAAUGUCAUACAAAGUCUUGAACUGGAAAGUAUGCUAAUAAAAAUUAAAAAUGUAACAGAUGGCAUCAAAAGCUGAACUGGUCCAACAGAAGAAGUCAGUGAGCUUCAAGAUGAGCUCUUUGAAAACAAGUCAGAGGAGAAAGAAAAGAAUCAGGAGGUAGAAGGAAAGUUUUUGGAAACUUGGGAAAUAGCACUAAAAGAGUAAAU